GGGAUACGAAAUUGAGCUCUUCCAUCCGUGCAGUGCGAUGCCGAGAUUACGAGAGGCUCGGCUCGAUUGAGGUACGCCGAUGGGCAAAACUUCUCAAUAGUUUUGUGUACAAAUUAUGUGUAACGUCCAGCAACUAAACUUCCUCAGUGUAUUAUCGUAUGCGUGGUCAGUUUGUCCGAAGUACACACCAAAACAGACGUCUUUGUAAGGGAAAUUAACAUCUUUGUGAUAUUUAGCAAGAAGAGAAAAGAAUAUUCUCAAGAUGACUGCUGCAGCUCUAUGUAGAUCAUGACAUCACAAUAAUCUUCAUUGCUGAUCAAUGCAAGAAACAAGGGAUUGUACAUCUAAUGCAGUAGAAAUCUACAGCCCAGCACAGUAAAAGGUUUGCUUCCACAUAAAAAAUACAAU